UUCCUUUACAGAUAGUCAUGAGCCAUCAU
rnacentral:piRNA from 1 species